AAGUCGUAACAAGGUCUCCGUUGGUGAACCGGCGGAGGGAUCAUUACUGAGUACUACACUCUCUACCCUCUGUGAACUAUUAUACCUGUUGCUUCGGCGGCGCCCGCAAGGGUGCCCGCCGGUCUCAUCAGAAUCUCUGUUUUCGAACCCGACGAUACUUCUGAGUGUUCUUAGCGAACUGUCAAAACUUUUAACAACGGAUCUCUUGGCUCCAGCAUCGAUGAAGAACGCAGCGAAACGCGAUAUGUAAUGUGAAUUGCAGAAUUCAGUGAAUCAUCGAAUCUUUGAACGCACAUGGCGCCUUCCAGUAUCCUGGGAGGCAUGCCUGUCCGAGCGUCGUUUCAACCCUCGAGCCCCUGUGGCCCGGCGUUGGGGAUCUGCCACGGCAGGCCCCUAAAACCAGUGGCGGACCCGAAGGGCCCUCUCCUUUGCGCAGUAGCAUUCGCCUCGCAUCGGGAGUCCUCGGCGUCCUGCCUCUAAACCCCCCACAAGCCCGCUUCGGCGGCACCAAGGUUGACCUCGGAUCAGGUAGGAAUACCCGCUGAACUUAA
rnacentral:rRNA from 1 species